CCUACGGGUGGCUGCAGUGGGGAAUAUUGGACAAUGGGGGGAACCCUGAUCCAGCCAUGCCGCGUGUGUGAAGAAGGCCCUCGGGUUGUAAAGCACUUUCAGUGAGGAAGAACGCCUGGUGGUUAAUACCCAUCAGGAAAGACAUCACUCACAGAAGAAGCACCGGCUAACUCCGUGCCAGCAGCCGCGGUAAUACGGAGGGUGCGAGCGUUAAUCGGAAUUACUGGGCGUAAAGCGCGCGUAGGUGGCUUGAUAAGCCGGUUGUGAAAGCCCCGGGCUCAACCUGGGAACGGCAUCCGGAACUGUCAAGCUAGAGUGCAGGAGAGGAAGGUAGAAUUCCCGGUGUAGCGGUGAAAUGCGUAGAGAUCGGGAGGAAUACCAGUGGCGAAGGCGGCCUUCUGGACUGACACUGACACUGAGGUGCGAAAGCGUGGGUAGCAAACAGGAUUAGAUACCCUGGUAGUC
rnacentral:rRNA from 1 species